rnacentral:rRNA from 1 species
UACGUAGGGGGCAAGCGGUUGUCCGGAAUUAUUGGGCGUAAAGAGCGUGUAGGCGGUCCGGUAAGUCAGCUGUGAAAGUCAAGGGCUCAACCCUUGAAUGGCCGGUUGAUACUGUCGGGCUUAGAGUCCGGAAGAGGCGAGUGGAAUCCCGGUGUAGCGGUGAAAUGCGCAGAUAUCGGGAAGGAACACCAAUGGCGAAGGCAGCUCGCUGGGACGGUAC